rnacentral:lncRNA from 1 species
AGAGAUAGUAGAGAGAUUGAUGAAGCUCUCCCUAAAGUUUGAUGGGCUCACGACACUCGUAGCUCACCUUCUCACUUCCCGAACCCUAGGCAAAAACCCUAGGAUACUCCAAGAAAAACCUUGCGCCCACUCUCUCUUUUCUCUUCUUUUCUUUUCUUUUCUCAUGCAGAGGGUCUAUCUGACGCCCCCUUUUCUCUCUC